rnacentral:tRNA from 1 species
AAUUAGUAAGCUUUAUGAAAGCAUAUGUUUUGAAAACAUAAAAUAGAAGUUUGAUUCUUCUCCUAAUUU